rnacentral:rRNA from 1 species
CGCUGGCGGCGUGCCUAAACUUAUGCAAGUCGAACGAGAAAGGGCUGUCUUCGGACGGCCUAAGUAAAGUGGCGAACGGGUGAGUAACAGGUGGGUAAUCUGCCCUUUAGUUGGGGAUAACGCCUAGAAAUGGGUGCUAAUACCGAAUGAGCCCAACAUCACCACGGUGAUGUUGGGGAAAGGUGGCCUCUGCUUGCAUGCUGCCGCUGAAGGAUGAGCCCGCCCCCUAUUAGUUUGUUGGUAGGGUAACGGCCUACCAAGGCAACGAUGGGUAGCCGGCCUGAGAGGGUGUCCGGCCACACUGGAACUGAGACAAGGUCCAGUCCCCUAUGGGAGGCGCAGGUGGGAAUCAUUCGCAAUGGGCGAAAGCCUGACGAUGCGACGCCGCGUGGGUGAGGAAGGCCUUUGGGUUGUAAAGCCCAUUCGAGAGGGAAGAAUCUGUUGGGGGUUAAUAACCUUCGGCAGUGACGGUACCUUUUGAGAAAGCUCCGGCCAACUACGUGCCAGCAGCCGCGGUGACACGUAGGGAGCAAGCGUUGUCCGGAAUUACUGGGCGUAAAGGGCGUGUAGGCGGGCUUGUAAGUCAGGGGUGAAAUCGCCCGGCUCAACCGGGUAUCCGCUCUUGAUACUGCAGGUCUUGAGUACGAGAGAGGUAGGCGGAACUCAUGGUGUAGCGGUGACAUGCGUAGAUAUCAUGAGGAACACCGGUGGCGAAGGCGGCCUACUGGCUCGAUACUGACGCUGAGGCGCGAAAGCUAGGGCAGCGAACGGGAUUAGAUACCCCGGUAGUCCUAGCUGUAAACGAUGGGCACUAGGUGUAGGAGGCAUCGACCCCUUCUGUGCCGCAGCUAACGCAUUAAGUGCCCCGCCUGGGGAGUACGAUCGCAAGGUUGAAACUCAAAGGAAUUGACGGGGGCCCGCACAAGCGGUGGAGCAUGUGGUUUAAUUCGAUGCAACGCGAAGAACCUUACCGGGGCUUGACAUAUAUCUGCAAGCUGUGGAAACACGGCCCUCCGUUCUACGGACGGAUAUACAGGUACUGCAUGGCUGUCGUCAGCUCGUGUCGUGAGAUGUUGGGUUAAGUCCCGCAACGAGCGCAACCCUUGUCGUUAGUUGCCACCAGGUUAUGCUGGGCACUCUAGCGAGACUGCCGGUGACAAACCGGAGGAAGGUGAGGAUGACGUCAAGUCAUCAUGGUCCUUACGCCCCGGGCUACACACGUGCUACAAUGGCCGGUACAGAGGGAUGCAAUACCGCGAGGUGGAGCAAAUCCCAAAAAGCCGGUCUCAGUUCGGAUCGGAGUCUGCAAUUCGACUCCGUGAAGUUGGAAUCGCUAGUAAUCGUGGAUCAGCAUGCCACGGUGAAUACGUUCCCGGGCCUUGUACACACCGCCCGUCACACCAACCGAGUUGGGUGCACCCGAAGUCGCUGCUCUAACCCUUUUGGGAAGAAGGUGCCGAAGGUGUGCCUGGUAAGGGGGGUG